rnacentral:lncRNA from 1 species
AAUUGUUCAAUGAACAAAAACAUUACAGCAAAUGAAAAACUCAAUUCUGCAGCAAACAGUUACAUAUGAUCUUAUUCUCACAUCACAAUAGCUCUGUAAUCUGCAUAACAAUUCAGGAUCUGCCACAUGCAUAAUCACCUUAAUUAGGAGUUCAAUUUCUGUGAAAGCUAUUUAACUUUACCAUCAAAGUUACAUAGAGUUUGUCACCCACUCUGUCAACAAACCAAUAGUAAGCAUGCCUCCAUUUCCUAAUAAGAAACAAAGAACCAAAAAUCCAACUCCCAUGCCUCGAUACAACGAUUCUCUUAUAGAGUCACCGAAGUUACAGAAGCAGCAACUUCACAUUAACAUCACAGAAAAAUUGCUUCAGCAUUGAAUUAACGAAUUGUGAAGAAUGGAGAAAGGAAGAAUACCUGGUUAGAGCGAUUGGAAUCAAUUGGAGAGUAUGAGCUUGGUUCGAUUGGAAGAGAACAUCAUCGAUUAGGGUUCAAUUGGAGAGAUCAUCGUGAAUUUGGGAUUUAGGGUUCAUCGUUUAGGGUUCAAUUGGAGCUUGGAGAUAUCAGAAUCAUGCACAUGGUGAUGAUGUUGUUUGCGAAUUGCGACUUUGCGUGAAUGAAUUUUGUGCGUGAAUGGUGAAUGACCAAUUAGAGUGGUUUUUGUGCGUGAAUUA